rnacentral:tRNA from 1 species
GGAAAGGUGGCAGAGUGGUAAUGCAGCAGCCUGCUAAGCUGUGGUCGCGGAAGCGUCCCCUGGGUUCGAGUCCCAGUCUUUCCG